UCCAGGGUAGCCUAGUGGACAUGGCACCUGCCUGGUAAGCAGAAGGUUGUGGGUUCGAUUCCCGCCCCUGGAC
rnacentral:tRNA from 1 species